GAUGAACGCUGGCGGCGUGCCUAAUACAUGCCAGUCGAGCGAACGGACGAGAAGCUUGCUUCUCUGAUGUUAGCGGCGGACGGGUGAGUAACACGUGGAUAACCUACCUAUAAGACUGGGAUAACUUCGGGAAACCGGAGCUAAUACCGGAUAAUAUUUUGAACCGCAUGGUUCAAAAGUGAAAGACGGUCUUGCUGUCACUUAUAGAUGGAUCCGCGCUGCAUUAGCUAGUUGGUAAGGUAACGGCUUACCAAGGCAACGAUGCAUAGCCGACCUGAGAGGGUGAUCGGCCACACUGGAACUGAGACACGGUCCAGACUCCUACGGGAGGCAGCAGUAGGGAAUCUUCCGCAAUGGGCGAAAGCCUGACGGAGCAGCGCCGCGUGAGUGAUGAAGGUCUUCGGAUCGUAAAACUCUGUUAUUAGGGAAGAACAUAUGUGUAAGUAACUGUGCACAUCUUGACGGUACCUAAUCAGAAAGCCACGGCUAACUACGUG
rnacentral:rRNA from 1 species